rnacentral:rRNA from 1 species
GGCCUAACACAUGCAGUCGAGCGGAUGAGUGGAGCUUGCUCCAUGAUUCAGCGGCGGACGGGUGAGUAAUGCCUAGGAAUCUGCCUGGUAGUGGGGGACAACGUUUCGAAAGGAACGCUAAUACCGCAUACGUCCUACGGGAGAAAGUGGGGGAUCUUCGGACCUCACGCUAUCAGAUGAGCCUAGGUCGGAUUAGCUAGUUGGUGAGGUAAAGGCUCACCAAGGCGACGAUCCGUAACUGGUCUGAGAGGAUGAUCAGUCACACUGGAACUGAGACACGGUCCAGACUCCUACGGGAGGCAGCAGUGGGGAAUAUUGGACAAUGGGCGAAAGCCUGAUCCAGCCAUGCCGCGUGUGUGAAGAAGGUCUUCGGAUUGUAAAGCACUUUAAGUUGGGAGGAAGGGCAGUAAGUUAAUACCUUGCUGUUUUGACGUUACCAACAGAAUAAGCACCGGCUAACUUCGUGCCAGCAGCGGCGGGUAAUAAAA